rnacentral:pre_miRNA from 13 species
UUUCCGCCCUGACUACCGGUAUGGUGAAGCAGCUGGUGUUGUGAAUCAGGCCGUCGCCAAUCUGAGAACGGCUACUUCACAACACCAGGGUUGCACCCUGCCACUGUCAACAACUCAAGGC